rnacentral:rRNA from 1 species
UACGUAGGCAGCAAGCGUUGUUCGGAAUUACUGGGCGUAAAGAGUGUGUAGGCGGUGUUCUAAGUCUGUUGUGAAAUCUCCCGGCUUAACUGGGAGGGUGCGGCGGAAACUGGAAUGCUAGAGGAUGGGAGAGGUAAGCGGAAUUCCUGGUGUAGCGGUGAAAUGCGUAGAUAUCAGGAGGAGCACCUGUGGUGUAGACAGCUUACUGGACCAUUUCUGACGCUGAGACACGAAAGCGUGGGUAGCAAACAGG